AAAAUUUGUGUCGUGUUCGACUGCUCUGCAAGGUUUCAAGGGACAUCCUUGAAUGAUCAUCUGCUGACUGGCCCAGAGCUGACAAACACCUUGGUUGGUGUCUUGUGUCGUUUCCGCAGAGGUCCUGUGGCGAUAAUGUGUGACAUAGAACACAUGUUCCACCAGUUUCAUGUGAAUGCAGAUGACCAAGACUACCUACGUUUCCUAUGGUGGGAAAAUGGAAACCUUGAUGCCCAGCCUUCCAUCUAUCGGAUGAAAGUGCAUUUGUUUGGUGCAGCUUCCUCACCUGGUUGCGCCAACUAUGGACUAAAGCACCUUGCUGCUGAAGGACUAGGACGUUUCGGUGAAGACACCAUCAAGUUCAUUCAGACCAACUUCUAUCUUGAUGAUGGCUUGUCAAGUGUAGCAACCGAAAGCCAAGCAAUACAGCUGGUGAAGGAAGCAAGAGAGCUCUGCAGUAUGGGUAAACUUCGGCUUCACAAGUUCAUCUCCAACAACAAGGAAGUUCUGGCCACUAUUCCCAAGGAAGAAUGCGCUGUAGCUCCCAAAGACCUAGAUAUGGCACUCAGUGAACUACACAUAGAGAGAGCACUUGGUGUACAGUGGUGUGUAGCGUCAGACGAGUUCCAGUUCAGGGUGGUUGUCAAGGAAAGUCCACUUACCCGAAGAGGAGUCUUGUCUACAGUCGCUUCUGUGUUCGAUCCACUGGGAUUUGUGGCACCCUUUGUCCUGUUGGGAAAGCAGAUAUUGCAGCAGAUGUGUCGUGACAAGCUCAGUUGGGAUGAUACCUUACCUGAUGACCUUCGACCUCUGUGGGAGUCUUGGCUUCAUGACUUGCCAAACUUGGCUGGUGUAAGGAUCCAGAGAUGCUACACACCACCAAGCUUCAAGGUCCAGCACUAUGAGCGCCAUCAUUUCUCUGACGCCAGUGUGUCCGGCUAUGGAGAGUGCUCUUACCUCAGGGCAGUCAGCACAUCAGGUGAAGUCCACUGCUCCUUAGUCAUGGGAAGAUCAAGGGUUGCACCCACUAAGAUCACAACUAUACCACGACUUGAGCUGUCAGCAGCGGUAGUAGCUGUCCGCACCAGUGACAUGCUAAAGAAGGAACUGGAAGUUGACUUAUCACGAGAAAUCUUCUGGACUGAUUCCAAGGUUGUACUUGGAUACAUAAAUAAUGAAGCCAGAAGAUUUCAUGUGUUCGUAGCAAACCGCGUGGAGCGCAUCAAGCAAAGCACAGAGUCUGCACAAUGGAGGUAUGUAGCCUCUGAAGACAAUCCAGCAGACCAUGCCUCAAGAGGUCUCACAGCUGGGCAGCUCAUAGCUUCAAACUGGCUCACAGGCCCAGACCUUCUCUGGCAAAAGGACCUACCAAGUCAAGUAGUCAAGGUGGGAGAGAUCUCAAGCAAUGAUCCAGAGCUCAAGAAGGCCCAGGUUCAUGACACUCAUGCUAAAGAGGUGAGGUCGCUGUUAGAUCGUCUCCACAAGUUCUCCGACUGGAUGAGAAUGGUGAAAGCUAUCGCCAGACUCAAGCGCCUCGCCAAGGAAAAAAAGGGCCUUAAACCAAGGUCCUGUGAAGCCAGCAGCUUAGAAGAAAGGAGGGAAGCAGAGCUGGUCAUUAUCAAGAUGGUUCAAGAAGCAGCCUUCUCUCAAGAGAUACACUGCCUCCAGCGUCAUAAAGAGAUGCAAAUCAAAGAUAAGACCAAGUUGCACAAGUUAUGUCCAUUCCUUGAUGAUCAGGGUAUCCUUCGAGUGGGAGGCCGCUUAACUCAUGCUGCUCUACAUCCACAUGUGACGCAUUCAGCAGUGCUCCCAAGAGACAGUCACAUAUCAGUAUUACUUGUCAAGCAUUAUCAUGAGAAAGUCCAUCAUCAGGGACGAGGAAUGACUAUGAAUGAGCUCCGUUCCAGUGGCGUAUGGAUCCUUGGAUGCAGCAGGGCAGUAUCAUCUCAUAUCUACAAGUGUACAAAGUGCAGGAAGUUCAGAAGAUGUACAGAACAGCAAAGGAUGGCAGACCUCCCACAAGAACGAGUGGAGACAACCCCACCAUUCACUUACUGCGGGAUGGACUGCUUUGGACCAUUCUACGUCAAGGAAGGAAGAAAAGAGUUAAAGCGGUAUGGGGUGUUGCUUACCUGCAUGUGUUCCAGAGCAAUACACAUUGUAAUGCUCGAUGACUUGACUACGGAUGCCUUUAUUAACACUCUGCGUUCAUUCAUUGCUAUUCGAGGGGCAGUACGUCAGUUAAGAUGUGAUCAAGGGACGAACUUCGUUGGUGCUAAACAUGAGUUUGUUAUAGCAUUAAAAGAGAUGGAUCAAGAGGAGCUCAAGGAACUGGGAUGUGACCGCACCAUCAGAAGUGUUUUGAUGUCGAUUCUAGAACGGUCAACCAAACAACUUGACUGCUCCUCUCUACGAACAUUCCUAUAUGAGGUCAUGGCAGUAGUGAACAGCAGACCUCUGACCACUGAUCACCUAAGUGACUCAUCAAGUCCAGAGCCCCUGACACCAAACCACAUACUGACUAUGAAAUCCACGAUUAUCUCCCCACCUCCAGGAAAGUUUGUCAAGGAAGAUCUGUACCUCCGCAAGACAUGGCGCCGAGUUCAGCUUCUUGCAAACACCUUCUGGACACGGUGGAAAAAGGAGUGCCUCCUAAAUCUCCAACACAGACAAAAGUGGAUCAAGGAUCGCAGAAAUGCUAAAAUCAAUGACAUUGUUCUCCUUCAGGAUGAUGCUGCACCACGAAACCAUUGGAAGUUGGCAAAGGUCAUUGAAGUGUACCCAGGAAAGGACGGACGAGUGAGGAAACUCAAGUUGCUCAUGAGCGAUUCAACUCUGGAUGGGAAGGGAAGGCGCAUCUCAAAACCUGUUCACCUGGAGAGGCCCAUUCAGAAGACAGUUACACUAUUGGAAGCAGACUGAAGUCUUUGGUAUCUUAAAACUCACUCUCUGCCAUUCUAACAGUUGGUUCAUUAAUCAAAUUGUUUCAGUUAAUUAAUGUUUAUAUGCAGUAUGUUUGUCUUUCUAAGUCGCGCCAAGAAAUCACUAAUGAUUGGUGGGAGUGUAACUGCCUCCCAUCGGCAGUUUAAUUUCUAGCUGUCUGUCAUGCCUUUUCUUUGGUUCCUACCUUUAGUAAUUGUAAUUUGAUAGGCGGAACUAAUUACUGCCGCACUUGUGUUCCACCCGUAUUGUAAUUAAUGAAACACCUGGCAUCCGAAGCGCCAGAAAAGACGGCAGAAAAAGUAAACAGCUACAGCUAAGCUAAGUAAUAAAAGAGUAAACAGAUAAAACAUGAAGAAAGAAGACAACGAGAAGAAUAAAUAAGGAAGAUUAGUCCCUCAUAAGAGAAAGGCAGCCUACGAGCAACUAAAUCAUUAUGCACCACAGUAAAAGAGCCUAAACUCAACUGAUGGUUGACAUGUGUUCUCUGACCGGAACCCUGUUGUGGCCAACUUCUCCACACAUAAGUUUCAGAGGUCUAAUCCUCAACAAAGGUCCCUCCAGCAAGAUCAAUUGGCUGCUGCAGAAGAUGUCAUCAGAAGAGCAGUCAGCAUCUCUACCUCAUCCUGAGAUUCAAGACCAAUCAGCGAGGCGUCACUGCACCCCCAGAUGUCUUGAAGACUACAUCCUUGCCUACAAUCCUCGGCAACCUGCCCUUACCGCAUUUCUGCCAGGAGCUGCUGGAACACAUCUCUUCCUUCCUAGUGGAAGAAGAGGUAGAUGAGGAUAAUCACAAUAGGAAGGACGCUACACCUCCACCCACAAAAUCACCUUCGGCACUUUGCCCUCAUCUUACCAAACCAUUCUACGGCUGGUUGUACGGCUACAACCCACACCUAUGAGCCCAGGGCUGUGUCCUACAGCUAUCUGCAUGCAUCGCAGUAUCAUCAGCCACACGUGAUGGCUCCUUCAAAUUACGGCCUGCCUCAUUAUGCUUUUGCGCCUACAGUAAUAGCGCCCCUUCAGCAUUGAUCAUCUGCUCCAGUGGUGGAAGAUUUAUUCUCAACUGUUCAGUCGCAACUGCAAUUAAGUUAGACUGUAGCCCCACUUAGCUUUGGUCUGCCAAUUUGCCCCAGCAUAUGGUGUGCCGAAACCCAAAAUCCACAGAUAGUUAAAGGGAGUUUGCUAACUUGAGGCUUUAGACAACCUGCUUGAGCCUCUUGUGGAUCUGACUGAGAAGUACAAAUAUCAUGUGCUACUUGAGCACCUCAAACUGCCUGAAGCACAGAUGAUAGACCAGUCCUGAUGCCACCAUCCAUACCCAUACACAACUAUGCAGGCCUUACAGCUCCAGUAUGGUCAGCCACACCAGCUGGCACAAAGUGAAAUAACAGCCAUUUAUCCACACCUGAUGUUAAGCCUGGUGAUGCACGUACCUUUCAGAGCUUCGCACUACGGGUCAGCCUCCUGAUGAGUAUGCUGCUCUCCUUAGAGGGACCUGGGAGUAUGGAGUUCAACUGCUGCUCUCAUGUACGUACUCAGUAAGCUACCCAAGUACCACAGAGAUGGGUUCAUUGAGUAUCUACAGCUACAAGGCGAGCUCAGCAGCACAAGCCUCAACCCCUACAACCUGCAGGGCUUGAAUGGAUGGCUUCAAGGUAAAGCCCAGAAACAGCGCCUGUCCAGCAGACUGGUGCAAUGCUACCAACAGAGAAACCUCAAGGUAAUGGUAAGGAGAAGAUCCUAGUCCAGAGCAACAAUCAAAGUGCAGCUGUAUAUCAUGGUGCAGAGCCCACUUAACCGAACACCUCUGGUAAACCCACACCAUCAAAUAACAAGAAACCAUUCAAAAUACAUUGCCUGUGCUGCGACAAGAGCACUGUAUCAGUUGCUGUCCCAGUGUUAAAGGGCAGUCAGUGGCAGACCUGGACAAGUGCAUAACAGAAGGAAAUGUGCAUGUGAAUGGUGAAUGUGAGAAUCUUGCCCUUCGCACUGUGCGGACAGACAUUACACACCUCAGGGGCUCCAAGAUCAGCUUUGAAAUCUCUUCCAAAAGUAACCCACAGAGACACUACAAAGUACAGGGAGCAUUUACUGCUUCAGGUCUAGACCUGAUGGAACAGUACAGAUGCUACGAAGACGAUAAAUUCACUUAUGCAGGGUCCCAUUGUUGCCAUUCUUCAACGCGUGCCCGCUGAUGUUGCUUUGGUCGGAUCAUGUACGCCUUAUCACUGCCACUAAGCCAAUACGCAAAGGAACAAGUGGAGAACCUAUAGCCAUCCAUACUGCCCUUGGGUGGACCUUGUAGGGGCUAAAGUCGGUCUGCCAGCACAGACUUCAGUGCAGCAGUGCCUCUUUACGUCAGUUGCUAACCCUGAACAUCUCCUCUACAGGAAAAUCGAAAGAUUAUGGCAACUAGACAUCCUGCCAUUUCGAAAUGAGAAAAUGGUUGGUCGUUCUCAUGAAGAUCAGAAAGCCAUGAGCCUUCUGGAGACCAAAACCUCAUCAUGUUGACAUAGAGGGAGUCUAGCGUUAUGCAACCCCCCUUGAGGAAGACAGGAGCACCUAAACUUAAUAGUUCCACGCAUUCUGUCAUAGCUCACCUGAGGGCCACCGAGAAGUGGCUCAGGAAGGAUCUGGAAAAGGCAGCUGUCUACUCAACUGAGAUUGACAAACUUAUCAAGGCUGGAUACGUCAAGAAACUUCUACCUAGAGAGGUUGAUCAGUCUGCAGAGUCAUGGUAUCUCCCUCAUCAUCUGGUGUGACAUAACAAGUCACGGCUGGUAUUCAACAGCUCAUUCAGGCACCAGGGCAUCUCUAUGAAUGACCAGCUCCUACCUGGACCCACACUGGACCCACUGCUGCUAGGUGUUCUUCUAUGGUUUGGACAGCAUCAGGUUGCAGUGAGUGGAGAUAUCUGCGCAAUGUUUCACCAGGUCUGCCUUCUGCCUGGUUAAUUUGGAGGGAUCUGCACUGUGAAGACCCACCAGAUGUGUAUGAAUGAAGUAGUCUAUGUUGCCAUCUUUGCCUUGCAGCAACCACCAAGAAAGCCAUCCUGAUACACUACAGUCGGUGCUGCAGGGUUUCUAUGUCGACAAUUGCCUUGAGAGCUUCCCCACCAUAAGUGCAGCCACGCAGAGAGAAAACCAGCUGAGUACACUGUUGGCUGAAGCAGGGUUCGAUCUAAGACAGUGGGCGAGUAAUCAAACAACUGUGAUUGCUCACCUUCCCACUGAUGCAAGAUCUUCAGCUACAGAGCAGUGGCUUAACCAAAGCCGAACUGACCCACUUGAGCCUACCUUAGGCCUUAGGUGGAACUGUGCUGCCGAUACUUUUGGCUAUCAAUGCCGGCUCAUUGAGCAUGCAGCUCUGACUGUGAGGACAGCAUAUCAAGUAAUUGGCCAGCCAGUAUGAUCCUUUGGGGUUUAUUGUACCAUGUACAACACGUGCCAAGGUGCUCAUUCAGCAGCUCUGGUCCAAACAGUGAAGCUGGGAUGACCCCAACUUACCUCCAACCUUACGACAAGCCUGGGAAGCCUGGGAGAGUGAGCUGCAACACCUUGACAGAGUAUUCAUCCCCCACUGUUAUCUGUUAUUCACCAGUCUCUGUAGAGGGCGCAGAUCCAGAGUAUGAACUGCAUGCCUUCUGCGACACCUCCAAAUGAGUAUAUGUGGCAGUGGCCUACCUCACAGGGCAAGUAGGAGACACCAUUCACAUCACCUUUGUAGCGAACAGUCUAUGCCCGCCUCGAGCUCUGCGCUGCAUUGUCUGGAGCUCAACUGGCCAAACUCAUAGAGACUGAGAUGAUGCUCACCAUCAGGCAGACAACCUUGUGGUCUGACUCCACCACAGUACUGGAGUGGCUCCAAUCAGACUCCUGUAGAUAGUCAAGGUCUUUGUUGGAACCUGUGUGUCAGAGACACAGGGGCUGACUGACCGUCAGGCUUGGCGAUACGUGGACACCCACAGUAAUCCAGCAGAUGACAUAACUAGGGGGAAGUCACUCUUGGAUUUAGCAGGGCUUGGUCGUUGGAGCCAAGGGCCCUAGUUCUUAAAGCAGAGUGCUGAACGCUGGCCAAAGAAGCCAGAGCAGGCAACAUCAGUGAGCACUUCAGCGUUGAAAGGCAUCACCUUCUGCUACUUCAAGGUAGUACAGUCUGACCAUGUCUGGCCAGCCUUGCUCCAGAAUGGGACUCUUCAACAUGACUGCUCUGGGUUGGAAGGAGGCUUUGAAGGCUGUAGAACCCAAUCAUAGUAGUAGCAGGAGGAUGUUUCAGAAUAGUUAGUGUGUCUGUAUAGUGGCUCGGAGAUUUUUCAUUCAACCAUACCAGUUUGACCCAUAAUGGGACCCAGAAGGAGAGGCUCCUGAAGAAGUACAGAC